UCCUACAUCAGGGGAUGGCAUUUGGAGGCCACCAAAUGCCACUGGGGAGUGUCAGGCAGCUGGAGGGAAGCCUAUUCCUGGCUGCUUGGGGGGAAGCUGCAGUACAGACUCCACACAACCCAUAUUGCCUCACUGUCCCUGCGGCUGAAGGGACACCAUCUAUCCUCUCCUUCAGGUGACUCAACACAACCCCCUUCCAUGCUUUGCAUUUGCCAAUAAGUUAUAAUCCAGCCACUCAGCUAAGGUCAGCCCAGGGAAUCAUUAGGAACAGACAGAACAGAGGAGAGGUGGCAAAACUGGGAUGCUAGUGACAAAACAUGAAAAAUAAGGAAGGAAACUGGACCCUGUCUCCUACAUAUGGUCCUUUGCCACCCUUAGUCUUCCCAUCUUCACCUUCAAAGACAACUGUCUUGGCCUCUCUGGCUUGUGAACAUUGUUACAACCGCACUGGCUAAGGUGGACUGCAAGACAAGGAAACAUAAAGGAAUAAGAGGACAGGUAGAUGAAAGCUAAGAGGAACAAAGAACUAGGGCUGAAAAAAGAGCUAGAAACAAAAAAGAGAGAAGGUAAGGAAAAAUUACAGAGUAAGAGGGAUGGGACACAUCAUCCAUAGCAAAAGCAUGAAGAGAUGUAGGAAUUUUUACAGUAACUUCGUCCAAACUAGAGAACUGAGGUGGAACAUGAACCCAACGGACACUUGGCUAACUAAGAGCACAUAAUUGUCAAGAACUAUUAUUGCACAUUCCUUGAUUUAGAGGAGCUAUUCUUGAAGCCAAAAUCUUGUGUUUCAUUCUAUGCAGUUCUCAAGAUAUUUUAUACUCUUCUGUGUUCCUGAAAACCCUCUAUACACUUCACCACUUCUGGGAGACACUUCUUUUCAGCACAGCUUAAUGUACAAAGAAUGGUAGCCUCCUCCCGUAGAUUCGUUUCAUGGGCCAAAUAGGUAGAACAGGAAGAACAAACCUUUGGAGAGGAUGUUGUUCUACAGCAACACUGGUAGGGCUUAGAGCAUGCAGACAGAGGUUGUGAGAGAGAGAAGGGCUUGGAGAAGCAUCAGAAAGUCAGUUUGGACACAAACAGAUGGAAAGUGCAAUUGCAACUUCUCUGUAACUGUUUUUGUUAAUACAGACCCAGUCAAGAGUAAGAUGCAUGAAACCCAUUCCUUUUAACAUGUCCUAAAGUACACUUAUUCCUCUGAGAGUUCAAGAAGGAAGUAAUCUCUAUACCCCCCAUGUGCACUGGGACAACGACAGUGACUAUGACUGGAAGAAUAUGCAAGAGAAGGGCUUCUUCCAUUUUCACCUGCCAUAAUCCUUGCAGUGGCAAAUCAAUAUUUGGAACACUGUCAGCAACUGUCUGAAAAGGUCCUUUUCUUAUUAAAAAAAAAAAAAAGUUUUGACUUUCCUCACAAAUGCUUGGAGAAGUUUCUGAAGAAAGAGUCUGAGUAAUUUACUGAGAGGUCACAGAGCUGCCAUUUACUGCUUCCAUUACAUGCAAGGCCUCAUCCUGCCCGUUCUCUUGGAUGGCGAGUAGCACCUGCCCUGCAGUUGAUCGCACCGAUUGCAGUGGCAAAGCUAGCACAAGCAGCCGUGUGAGGUGCAGUGGGGAGCGAGAGCUCCUGAGGACGGUGCUCGGGGCUCUUGGACGCAAGGCCAGGAUGCAGGAACAAGCCAGCAUGGAAGCAGGCACAGCAGGCACAACAAUCUGGGAUCCAUAUUAGCGCUUGGUGCCAUCCCCACACGGGCAGUGUUGCUCCGGAGGAGGGCUUCGCUUCCAGCAAAUUCCAGCUCACAACAGCUGGGAAGGCUCCGCUCUGAACAGCUGCUUCUAGCGCAGCCCCAACUGCAUCUUUUUUUCUGUGUGGAAAGCUUUGUUUUGGUGAGAGACGGAUUUGUUGAGCUUCCUUGUACCGCGGUCUCACACAGCGACUUUCCCUUUGCCCAUGGCAUGUGACCCUGCCAACUUACGGGCUUGCAUCCUCAAUAAGAAAAACAACAACAUUAAAAAAAAGUAAAGGUUAAUUAACCUCAGGUCUGUUCUCAGCAAAGCGAGGCUGCCAUGGAUAAGUAAUAAAAAUAGCUUCUCAAUGGUC